UACGUAGGGUGCAAGCGUUGUCCGGAAUUAUUGGGCGUAAAGGGCUCGUAGGCGGUCCAUCGCGUCGGGAGUGAAAAGCUGGGGCUUAACCCCAGUCCUGCUUCCGAUACGGGUGGACUAGAGGUAGGUAGGGGAGAACGGAAUUCCUGGUGUAGCGGUGAAAUGCGUAGAGAUUGGGAAGAACAUCGGUGGCGAAGGCGCUCUGCUGGACCAUAACUGACACUCACAGGACGAAAGCUAGGGGAGCGAAUGGG
rnacentral:rRNA from 1 species